rnacentral:rRNA from 1 species
AGAGUUUGAUCCUGGCUCAGAAUGAACGUUGGCGGCGUGGAUUAGGCAUGCGAGUCGCGCGAGAAUGUAGCAAUACAGGACAGCGGCGAAAGGGAGAGGACAACACGGGAAUCUGCCUUGGGGACGAGGAUAGCGUCGGGAAACUGACAGUAAUACUCGAUAAUGUUUGCGGACCAAAGGUGUGAUUCCGCCCCAAGAUGAGCCCGUGCCCCAUUAGCUAGUUGGCAGGGUAAUGGCCUACCAAGGCUGUGAUGGGUAGCUGGUGUGAGAGCACGACCAGCCUCACUGGCACUGAGACACUGGCCAGACACCUACGGGUGGCUGCAGUCGAGAAUCUUCGGCAAUGGACGCAAGUCUGACCGAGCGACGCCGCGUGCGGGAUGAAGGCCUUCGGGUUGUAAACCGCUGUCGUAGGGAAUCAAAUGCAUGGGGGUACUCCUCUAUGUUUGAGAGAUCCUAGGAGGAAGGAGAGGCUAAGCUCGUGCCAGCAGCCGCGGUAAGACGAGCUCUCCAAACGUUAUUCGGUAUUACUGGGCUUAAAGAGUUCGUAGGCGGCUCUGUAGGUGAGAUGUGAAAGCCCUCGGCUUAACCGAGGAACUGCGUUUCAAACCACAGGGCUUGAGGGAGAUAGGGGUAAGCGGAACAGAUGGUGGAGCGGUGAAAUGCAUUGAUAUCAUCUGGAACACCGGUGGCGAAGGCGGCUUACUGGGUCUUUUCUGACGCUGAGGAACGAAAGCUAGGGUAGCGAACGGGAUUAGAUACCCCGGUAGUCCUAGCCGUAAACGAUGAGCACUAGUCUGAGGGACUCUCACAGUUUCUCGGACGUAGCGAAAGUGUUAAGUGCUCCGCCUGGGGAGUAUGGUCGCAAGGCUGAAACUUAAAUGAAUUGACGG